UGCAUCUGCAGCCCAUGAGGAUGAGAACCUCCGGGGGCAGGGAGGUUCGACUCGAGCGAAGCGAGAGAACGUUGCGCCAGCAACGGCCCGCAGGGC
rnacentral:sRNA from 1 species